UAUAUAUUAGUGUAAGGUGCACAUAGAAUUUUGAUUUCUAGGGUAUUAGUUCAAUUCUAUUAUAUAUAA
rnacentral:tRNA from 1 species